GGGCAGGUGAUCCGAUUGGUAAUGGUGAUUCUCUGUAAAAGAAUUGGUUAACGCCAAAAAAGGUUCGAUUCCUUUACUGCUCA
rfam:Coprinopsis cinerea okayama7#130 cont3.68 mitochondrial, whole genome shotgun sequence.